GACGAACGUUGGCGGCGUGCCUAAUACAUGCAAGUCAACUGAAAUACCGGUAGCAAUACUGGUAUGGAGGUGGCGCACGGGUGAGUAACACGUAGGUAAUCUGCCUUCAGGUCUGACAUAACCCAUCGAAAGGUGAGCUAAUAUCAGAUGAUGCAGCGGCUUGACAUCAAGACAGUUGUUAAAGCUUCGGCGCCUGAAGAUGAGCCUGCGUCUGAUUAGCUAGUUGGCGGGGUAACGGCCCACCAAGGCUGCGAUCAGUAGCUGGUCUGAGAGGAUGAUCAGUCACACUGGAACUGAGACACGGUCCAGACUCCUACGGGAGGCAGCAGUAAGGAAUAUUGCUCAAUGGCCGAAAGGCUGAAG
rnacentral:rRNA from 1 species